GCUUUGCAUUAGAGGUGUGUGUUUU
rnacentral:piRNA from 1 species